UACGGGGGGGGCAAGCAUUGUUCGGAAUUACUGGGCGUAAAGGGCUCGUAGGCGGCCAACUAAGUCAGACGUGAAAUCCCUCGGCUUAACCGGGGAACUGCAUCUGAUACUGGAUGGCUUGAGUUCGGGAGAGGGAUGCGGAAUUCCAGGUGUAGCGGUGAAAUGCGUAGAUAUCUGGAGGAACACCGGUGGCGAAGGCGGCAUCCUGGACCGACACUGACGCUGAGGAGCGAAAGCCAGGGGAGCAAGCGGG
rnacentral:rRNA from 1 species